rnacentral:rRNA from 1 species
GAUGAACGCUGGCGGCGUGCCUAAUACAUGCAAGUCGAGCGAACAGACGAGGAGCUUGCUCCUUUGACGUUAGCGGCGGACGGGUGAGUAACACGUGGAUAACCUACCUAUAAGACUGGGAUAACUUCGGGAAACCGGAGCUAAUACCGGAUAACAUGUUGAACCGCAUGGUUCAACAGUGAAAGACGGUCUUGCUGUCACUUAUAGAUGGAUCCGCGCCGCAUUAGCUAGUUGGUAAGGUAACGGCUUACCAAGGCAACGAUGCGUAGCCGACCUGAGAGGGUGAUCGGCCACACUGGAACUGAGACACGGUCCAGACUCCUACGGGAGGCAGCAGUAGGGAAUCUUCCGCAAUGGGCGAAAGCCUGACGGAGCAACGCCGCGUGAGUGAAGAAGGUCUUCGAAUCGUAAAACUCUGUUAUUAGGGAAGAACAAAUGUGUAAGUAACUAUGCACGUCUUGACGGUACCUAAUCAGAAAGCCACGGCUAACUACGUG